ACGAUGAAGCCGCUUCGGUGGUGGAUUAGUGGCGAACGGGUGAGUAACACGUGGGCAAUCUGCCCUGCACUCUGGGACAAGCCCUGGAAACGGGGUCUAAUACCGGAUAUGAUCACCGGCCGCAUGGUCUGGUGGUGGAAAGCUCCGGCGGUGCAGGAUGAGCCCGCGGCCUAUCAGCUUGUUGGUGGGGUGAUGGCCUACCAAGGCGACGACGGGUAGCCGGCCUGAGAGGGCGACCGGCCACACUGGGACUGAGACACGGCCCAGACUCCUACGGGAGGCAGCAGUGGGGAAUAUUGCACAAUGGGCGCAAGCCUGAUGCAGCGACGCCGCGUGAGGGAUGACGGCCUUCGGGUUGUAAACCUCUUUCAGCAGGGAAGAAGCGCAAGUGACGGUACCUGCAGAAGAAGCACCGGCUAACUACGUGCCAGCAGCCGCGGUAAUACGUAGGGUGCGAGCGUUGUCCGGAAUUAUUGGGCGUAAAGAGCUCGUAGGCGGCCUGUCGCGUCGGAUGUGAAAGCCCGGGGCUUAACCCCGGGUCUGCAUUCGAUACGGGCAGGCUAGAGUUCGGUAGGGGAGAUCGGAAUUCCUGGUGUAGCGGUGAAAUGCGCAGAUAUCAGGAGGAACACCGGUGGCGAAAGGCGGAUCUCUGGGCCGAUACUGACGCUGA
rnacentral:rRNA from 1 species